rnacentral:rRNA from 1 species
CGGCGAACGGGUGAGUAACGCGUGGAUAACCUGCCCUGAGGUGGAGGAUAACCAAGGGAAACUUUGGCUAAUACCGCAUGAUACCGAGAGGUCAAAGGGGGCUCGCAAGGGCUCUCGCCAUAGGAGGGGUCCGCGUACGAUUAGCUAGUUGGUAGGGUAAUGGCCUACCAAGGCGACGAUCGUUAGCCGGCCUGAGAGGGUGAUCGGCCACACUGGAACUGAGACACGGUCCAG